rnacentral:rRNA from 1 species
GGGGUAACCGGCUCUACNAGGNCGAUGACGGGUAGCUGGCGUGAGAGCGUGGCCGCCCACUGGGACUGAGACACGGCCCAGACUCCUACGGGAGGCAGCAGUGGGGAAUAUUGCGCAAUGGGCGAAAGCCUGACGCAGCAACGCCGCGUGAGGGAAGACGGCUCUCGGGUUGUAAACCUCUUUCAGNAGGGACGAAAUUGACGGUNCCUGCANAANAANCGCCGGCCAACUACGUGCCAGCAGCCGCGGUAACACGUAGGGCGCAAGCGUUGUCCGGAUUUAUUGGGCGUAAAGAGCUCGUAUGCGGUUUCNUAAGUCGGGUGUGAAAACUCACGGCUCAACUCUGAGACGCCACCCNAUACUGCNAUGACUUGAGUCCNGUNNAGGAGUAAGGAAUUNCUGGUGUANCGGUGAAAUGCGCANAUAUCAGGAGGAACACCANUANCGAANGCGCUACUCUGGGCCGGUACUGACGCUGAGGAGCGAAAGCAUGGGGAGCGAACANGAUUANAUACCCUGNUAGUCCAUGCCGUAAACGUUGGGCACUAU